CCAUUGAAGAGUGAUGAUUUAUUUCAUUUAAGGAAACUUGGGCUGGCGUAGAUCCAAGGAAUUUGAGAAUUAAAUGUAGGCUUUGAAGGGUAUUACGAAUAAAAUGCCUCUUUGUAUCUGUGCUUAAGUUGGUGUUUCAGUCACGCGAGUGAGGAACAUGCAACUAGUGCCAAGGUCUGGCUUUAGAUUAUUUUGGAGAUCAGUCACCUUUGGAUACAGCGGAUUGUUAUUAUCAAAUUCUUGAACAUGGUCUGUAAGUAAGUAAGCUAGCCAGAAGGGCAGAGCACUCCCCCAUUUCCACCAUAAACUGAUAUUAUCCCAUUAAUCCUUGGGUUCUUGCAAGUUUUGAUCCUCUUUCUCCGUACUAUUGCUCAACGUCAUCAUGGCCUCUUGACUUGAGUUGGGGGGUGGUCUUUAUUUAUUGGAGAAUACUAGCAAGCCGGCACCCGGUAGGUGCAAGUUUCAAGACAGCAGACAUCUAGUGCGACGAUAUAAUAUGCAUGAAAAUCCAGUGGAAAAGCUGAAUCGCAUCGAUCGAAUACAAUGUUACCACCAUCAGUGACUCGUGGCCAACUGAAUUUCAUUUUCAAUGGUGAAACUUCAAUGAGAGACUACCUCGAUGGAUGAGGGAGGCCAAUCCGGAGCUCGCUUUCAUUAUUUGCCUCCAAAAAUGCCGUUUGCGCUCAAUGACUCAAACGAGACUCUUAGUCGUGAUAUUGUUCCUUCCGAUCGAGGACGGUCCGAAGUUCUGAGGAAAUGGUCUCGGCAGCAUGGUGACCCCGAACUCGAUCAGUGCACAUACAAGAUCAUCGAUGGUGGCGAGAGUGUCACUUCAUCACAGUAGUAGUGUACGCUCAUUGCAAUAAAUCCAGUACAAUUUAUGGAAGACCAACACGAAUUUGUAUUGUUAGUAAACAGACGCCCAGCUAACUGGUUGGAGAAUGUAGAGAGGGUUAAGAGUGUGACAAAACUUCCUAAAUCCCUCAUCUUUGACAUUACAUUUUGCAUUGGUCUUCCCCAGUCUUCCCACGAAUUUCCAGCGGUUUCCAUAGCAUUUGAGAGGACCUUGGCUUCCAGACAAAAAAUCAUUUUCUGUCGCGUGGAAACAGAACGAUGUCCCAAAUACCCUUACUUGAAUUCCUUGCCUUCUCAAUUCGAUGGAGUGAAGACGCUAAAUUGACGAGGUGACACUCCCGUUGUGCAGAUCUGGGAUGGCUUAAUCUUCCAAUAUCUCCAUGCCUUUUGGAACAAUUCCGAAAUCGCUGACUAUAAAAUCGAAAAGGAGACGUUAUUCUCAUCACUGCUUCUUGAUCCACCCUCCUGAAACUGAAUUUCUCAUGCCGGACCACAUGGUGCAAGCUCAAUCACAAGCUCUUGCACUGAAGAAACUUUCACCCAGGUGCUAUGUAGAGUCGGAUCCAUCAACUUGUCGCCACAAUGAUGAUCUGUAGUUGGAACUCAUCUUGCCAUUAUAAUCCAAAUGUAUCAAAAAUAGUUCGUUUUUAUAGUUAGAACGAGAGAAUGGCCAUAUAAAUGGUCCGACCAUUGGCUAAAAGGCGUAAAGUUUCGCCAUUUUAUAUUAGUUUUCAUUUUGAAUUAUAUCCCUUGACAAAAUUUUAA